GACGAAUCACCCGGAGUUUGAAGAUGUUGUAAAGAAAGUGUGGACGGGGACUGACUGUCAGGGAUGGAGCUUUUUCGUGGUUAAGGAGAAAUUGAAAAAACUUCGCGAGGCUUUAAAAGUUUGGAAUCGCACAUCCUUUGGUGAGAUUGAUUCUAAAAUUCAUGAAUUAAAGAAGGAGUUACAACAGAAAGAUGAGCUUGACGAGCAGAGUUGUUUAGGCGAAGUGGAUGUUAUCAGGAGAAAUGAGCUCCAAGCUCUCCUUUCCCUUCAGCUGAAGCAUAAGCAGAUGACUUU
rnacentral:lncRNA from 1 species